rnacentral:rRNA from 1 species
GAUGAACGCUGGCGGCGUGCCUAAUACAUGCAAGUCGAGCGAACGGACGAGAAGCUUGCUUCUCUGAUGUUAGCGGCGGACGGGUGAGUAACACGUGGAUAACCUACCUAUAAGACUGGGAUAACUUCGGGAAACCGGAGCUAAUACCGGAUGAUAUUUUGAACCGCAUGGUUCAAAAGUGAAAGACGGUCUUGCUGUCACUUAUAGAUGGAUCCGCGCUGCAUUAGCUAGUUGGUAAGGUAACGGCUUACCAAGGCAACGAUGCAUAGCCGACCUGAGAGGGUGAUCGGCCACACUGGAACUGAGACGCGGUCCAGACUCCUACGGGAGGCAGAAGUAGGGAAUCUUCCGAAAUGGGCGAAAGACUGACGGAGCAACGCCGCGUGAGUGAUGAAGGUCUUCGGAUCGUAAAACUCUGUUAUUAGGGAAGAACAUAUGUGUAAGUAACUGUGCACAUCUUGACGGUACCUAAUCAGAAAGCCACGGCUAACUACGUG